CCUACACAUGCAGUCGAGCGGUUGACGGGAGCUUGCUCCCUGAUUCAGCGGCGGACGGGUGAGUAAUGCCUAGGAAUCUGCCUAUUAGUGGGGGACAACGUUUCGAAAGGAACGCUAAUACCGCAUACGUCCUACGGGAGAAAGCAGGGGACCUUCGGGCCUUGCGCUAAUAGAUGAGCCUAGGUCGGAUUAGCUAGUUGGUGAGGUAAUGGCUCACCAAGGCGACGAUCCGUAACUGGUCUGAGAGGAUGAUCAGUCACACUGGAACUGAGACACGGUCCAGACUCCUACGGGAGGCAGCAGUGGGGAAUAUUGGACAAUGGGCGAAAGCCUGAUCCAGCCAUGCCGCGUGUGUGAAGAAGGUCUUCGGAUUGUAAAGCACUUUAAGUUGGGAGGAAGGGUUGUAGAUUAAUACUCUGCAAUUUUGACGUUACCGACAGAAUAAGCACCGGCUAACUCUGUGCCAGCAGCCGCGGUAAUACAGAGGGUGCAAGCGUUAAUCGGAAUUACUGGGCGUAAAGCGCGCGUAGGUGGUUUGUUAAGUUGGAUGUGAAAGCCCCGGGCUCAACCUGGGAACUGCAUCCAAAACUGGCAAGCUAGAGUACGGUAGAGGGUGGUGGAAUUUCCUGUGUAGCGGUGAAAUGCGUAGAUAUAGGAAGGAACACCAGUGGCGAAGGCGACCACCUGGACUGAUACUGACACUGAGGUGCGAAAGCGUGGGGAGCAAACAGGAUUAGAUACCCUGGUAGUCCACGCCGUAAACGAUGUCAACUAGCCGUUGGAAUCCUUGAGAUUUUAGUGGCGCAGCU
rnacentral:rRNA from 1 species